rnacentral:rRNA from 1 species
CUACGGGUGGCAGCAGUGAGGAAUAUUGCACAAUGGGGGGAACCCUGAUGCAGCAACGCCGCGUGGAGGAUGACGCAUUUCGGUGUGUAAACUCCUUUUAUAUGUCGAGAAAAUGACGGUAGCAUAUGAAUAAGCGCCGGCUAACUCCGUGCCAGCAGCCGCGGUAAUACGGAGGGCGCAAGCGUUACUCGGAAUCACUGGGCGUAAAGGACGCGUAGGCGGGUUGAAAAGUCAGGUGUGAAAGCCUACAGCUUAACUGUAGAACUGCACUUGAAACUCUCAAUCUAGAGUAUGGGAGGGGUAGAUGGAAUGAGUGGUGUAGGGGUAAAAUCCGUAGAUAUCACUAGGAAUACCUAAAGCGAAGGCGAUCUGCUGGAACAUUACUGACGCUAAGGCGUGAAAGCGUGGGGAGCAAACAGGAUUAGAUACCCCAGUAGUC